AUAGAUUUGCAGACGCCACCACCAGUGCCAUAAAAAGCUGGGUUGAGUCAACAUAGAAACAGCAAACAAAAAGGAUGCCUCACUGUAAAAAAAAUCUGUAAAAUAACAGUUAAAUGACUGUAUAUUUUAACAGAUUUUUUCCGUAUACACGUAUUACGGGUGUUUUUCCGUUUAUAUACAUUUUCGAAUUGCAUUGUGGGAAGGGGAUCGCAGCUCAGACAGCGUUUGAUGGACACCGGGACAUAUUUCUUCCUCUGUUUUUUCCCUGGUAAGUACGAUUAAUAAAACAUAUAACAAUAUUUUAGUUAAAAGACUGCUUUAUUACCUUUUUAUCGUUAUUUAAAAUGAUUUUUGUCUUUUAUGAAGCGCCCAUGGAAAGUACAGCAUUGUUUGUCCGUAUUUUUCUAAACUGCCGUGCGCGGGAAGUGGCGUGACGUCCAAUCACCCACUCACUCCCUCUGCACCUGACUGGAUUAACGGUAAACGUCAGUUUGUCUGUAAGAGUGUAAAAGGUUCUUUCAUUUUGGUUAUAAGUACAUGUUACAGGUAAAUUCUUAGAUUCAAUCCAAACUGAAUUUGAAUUAAUACGGACAAAUGAAAUAAAAUACACCUGGGAUUUUAAAUGUUUUCAUUUUUUUAUUAUUCACAACGUUUGUGAAGUCUAAAUGUAGACUGUCUCAAACUGAAUAAGUGUUAUUUUUGUUGUAGGUGUGUUGGUGUAAAAAUUGAUGCUGACUGAACUCAGGCACUUGUGCUGGACCAUCUGUACCUAAUACAGGGGAUGACAGUAAACUUCCAAGUUUAAGAGCCACCUGAUGAUGAGAGACACAAUUUCAAUGUGGGCAUCUUGAUGAAGAAGAGUCCACAGUCACAAUAACAAGAUCAUUGAGCUGUCCCCUAAUUGUGGUGAGCUACAUGUUUAGUCUCUUAUGUGCUAAACAUUAUGUAGCCUAAGGAAGCAGCCCUGACUCUGGAGUUUAUAUGAAGGAGCAUGCUGAGUAACUAUCCAGAAUGUAGGUCCAUAGCAGAAAAAAGUGCACCAAGCAGAAACAUACCAUCUAAACUCCUUCGAUUCCUGUCAGACCAGAAAGACUUUCAGAAUCCUUGGAAGAUUUAAAGCCAUUGAAGUAUCAGUAUUGGAGCGGAAGAAGACCCAGUUGUAUCGUCUGUUUCCUGCCAUCUUGCAGUUAACCUGGUUUCUUAAUGUAAAGUACUUGUAAUUUGCCCACUUGUCCUCAAUUAUCUUAAAGCUAACAUUUAAAACUAAUUUGCUUUGAGAUUAUUUGCCAAGACUUCUCACUGUGUGAUUCACAUAUCAAUAUGUAUUUAUUGUGUGUAUAACUUGCUAUUUGGAAUUCAAAUGAUUUGUAUUCAUUAAAGAAUCUGUUUUAAUUGCAAA